rnacentral:tRNA from 1 species
GGGGUUAUAGCUCAGUGGUGGAUCGUAUGCUUAACAUGCAUGAGGUCUUGAGUUCAAUCCCCAGUACCUCCA